GUGCUCACUUCGGCAGCACAUAUGCUAAAACUGGAAUGACGCAGAGAACAUUACCAUGGCCUCUGUGCAAGGAAGACACACAAAUUUGUAAAGCAUUCCACAUUUUU